rnacentral:rRNA from 1 species
UGGGGAAUUUUGGACAAUGGGGGAAACCCUGAUCCAGCCAUCCCGCGUGUGCGAUGAAGGCCUUCGGGUUGUAAAGCACUUUUGGCAGGAAAGAAACGUCAUGGGUUAAUACCCCGUGAAACUGACGGUACCUGCAGAAUAAGCACCGGCUAACUACGUGCCAGCAGCCGCGGUAAUACGUAGGGUGCAAGCGUUAAUCGGAAUUACUGGGCGUAAAGCGUGCGCAGGCGGUUCGGAAAGAAAGAUGUGAAAUCCCAGAGCUCAACUUUGGAACUGCCUUUUUAACUACCGGGCUAGAGUGUGUCAGAGGGAGGUGGAAUUCCGCGUGUAGCAGUGAAAUGCGUAGAUAUGCGGAGGAACACCGAUGGCGAAGGCAGCCUCCUGGGAUAACACUGACGCUCAUGCACGAAAGCGUGGGGAGCAAACAGG